rnacentral:rRNA from 1 species
UCAACUUGAGAGUUUGAUCCUGGCUCAGAGCGAACGCUGGCGGCAGGCUUAACACAUGCAAGUCGAACGAGAAGCCGGGCUUCGGUCCGGGGGAAAGUGGCGCACGGGUGAGUAACGCGUGGGAAUUUACCUAGCAGUACGGAAUAACUCCGGGAAACCGGUGCUAAUACCGUAUACGCCCCGAGGGGGAAAGAUUUAUCGCUGUUAGAUGAGCCCGCGUCGGAUUAGCUUGUUGGUGGGGUAAAAGCCCACCAAGGCUACGAUCCGUAGCUGGUCUGAGAGGACGAUCAGCCACACUGGGACUGAGACACGGCCCAGACUCCUACGGGAGGCAGCAGUGGGGAAUAUUGGACAAUGG